CAGUUUGCCAAGCAAAAGAAAAUGUCUCCAGGCGGCAGCUGCGGAGCACAGGGUGUCUGCCAGGUCUCUUCGCCCCUCGGGUUAGCUCAAGGCUGCCGGUGCAGGUCAGCGCUCCAGCCGUGCCGAUGGGAGUUUGCAGAGCCCCGGGGCGGGCAAGGAGAGUGAGGUGCCCAAAGGUCCAUCAGGAUUGAGGUACAAUUGUAUCAGGUGUUGUACAAAGCUGUUAGAUGACAGGUCCUAGCUCCUUACACUUUAAUUGGAAAACAAGAUGCAACAAUAGGCUCAGAGAGUGGCAUGUGGCUUGAAGCACUGCAACAUCCCUUUGGACUUGAGACCUGGAACUGCCCUUGACAAGCCAGUCGUCAAGGUACGAGUAGAUCUGGAUACCCCGGCGCAUGAGAUAGGGCCCUGCCAUUGAAGGGCAGGUCCUGCAAUGACUUCUGGGCCUCUGUGGACAACCCAGAGGAGUAGCCAAGAGACUCGCCAAAUGCAAAUAGCGGAAGCCAUGGUGCAGGCAGCAGCAUCAGCACCAUCCAGUGCUGCCUGGAGGGCCGCCCUGGCCGCAGUCGUGCCCUCAUCGAGGAUUGCUUGGAACUCCUUCUUGGGAAGCCUGAGGGACUGACCCUUUGAACUUGGCUAUGGCUUGCCACCUAUUGAAAUCAUAUUGGCUAAGGAGGGCUUGAUGGUGAGCUACUUUCAGCUGAAGGCUGGAAGACGAAUAAACCUUUUGCCCAAAAAGA